rnacentral:rRNA from 1 species
AAAUAGAUACCCCGGGUAGUCCACGCCGUAAACGAUGAGUGCUAAGUGUUAGAGGGUUUCCGCCCUUUAGUGGCUGAAGUUAACGCAUUAAGCACUCCGCCUGGGGAGUACGGCCGCAAGGCUGAAACUCAAAGGAUUGACGGGGGCCCGCACAAGCGGUGGAGCAUGUGGUUUAAUUCGAAGCAACGCGAAGAACCUUACCAGGUCUUGACAUCCUCUGACAACCCUAGAGAUAGGGCUUCUCCUUCGGGAGCAGAGUGACAGGUGGUGCAUGGUUGUCGUCAGCUCGUGUCGUGAGAUGUUGGGUUAAGUCCCGCAACGAGCGCAACCCUUGAUCUUAGUUGCCAUCAUUAAGUUGGGCACUCUAAGGUGACUGCCGGUGACAAACCGGAGGAAGGUGGGGAUGACGUCAAAUCAUCAUGCCCCUUAUGACCUGGGCUACACACGUGCUACAAUGGACGGUACAAAGAGCUGCAAGACCGCGAGGUGGAGCUAAUCUCAUAAAACCGUUCUCAGUUCGGAUUGUAGGCUGCUAACG